rnacentral:lncRNA from 1 species
UUUAUAUUUUGGCGAUUAAAAAAAUAAUGUGAAAAUAAAUUGUCACAAAUAUUAAAAAAUUUAAUCUUUCCUUAUCAUCUUAUUAAAUACAUCCAGAAAAUUAAAAAAUCGAUUUCUUUAUCGACGUGGAGUCAGCUAGAAAGGACUAAACACGAAAUAAAGUAUGGGUGAAAAUAAUUUGUUUUACAGUACUUUAAACGAACAUUUCUAGUCACAUGUAUUUUAUUGAAAUCAGUAUUAAAGAGAUCUCAUGUUGAUUUAUUUCUGAUGAAAGAUCAACAUGCUGUCAGCCAUUUUUUUUUGUGAGUGGAAAAAUGUGAUGGUGUGUUCUAGCAACUUAAUCAGUUUAAAUUGGCAUUAUUCAGGAUCUGAAUUUAUGUAAUUAUGUCUUUUGUUUGAAUGUAAGACAUCUUUUAUUCCUUUAUUGAAACUUGAAAGAAUAGGCCAUUUUUUUUUUUGUGAGUGGAAAAAUGUGAUGGUGUGUUCUUGCAACUUAAUCAGUAUAAAUUGGCAUUAUUGAAGAUCUGAAUUUAUGUAAUUCUGUCUUCUGUUUGAAUGUAGGACAACUUUUAUUCAUUUAUUGAAAGGAUAGGCUGGGUAAUGGAAGAUAAAGAAAAGUGUCAGAAGAUAGCAGGAAGAAAGAAAAACAGGCUAUUCUUUCAUCUUGGAAUUAUUUUUAAUUAUGGUUAAUAAUUUCUUGUGCUUUAAAUUUUUAAUACAUUCCAUGUUUAUUCUGUUUAUUCUGUUUUAUAAUGUUUUUAGUGGUACAUAAAACUUUCCAUACAAUGUAUUUUGAAUAGAUAGUGUUGAGUGCUGCACAGUACAUUCUAUUGAAAAGGUGCUAUCAUCUCUAAAAUAGAAAAUGUUGUGUGCCGCACAAAACAUUAAAAUGCACAAUAUACAUGGAAUAUAUUUAAAAAUUCAAGGAGAAGAAAUUAUACAAAUUUCAUAAUUCAAAAUAAUUCAAAGUUGAAAUAAGUAAAAAAUAAAUGAAUUGGAAAUGGAGUAAAUGAAGAGAGAAUGGUACCCAUGUCUAUCCCUACUUAUUUACAAAAUAAAUCUGAAAAGUCUCUGAACAAGGGAUCGGUUUUACUCUUUUAAACUGUCAGGACCCAUAUACAUGUUAUCUAUAUCUAUCAUUUGAAUUUAUUUUGUAAUAUUUUGUGUUGAUAUGCUAACAAUUUUAAUACAAUGUAUAUA